AUUGAUAUAUGAAAAUAAAUUUCAUACAUUUUGCAUAAUAUAAGGCGGUAUUAUUACAUAUAUACCGAAAAUACAUAUUCAAAGAAACGAAAAACAUAUUGCUAACAUUUGGCGAAUGUGAUAACGAUUUUCUAACAUUUUGAAAAAUGCCUGGCGGUUUUACCGAAAAUACAUAUUCAAAGAAACAGAAAUAUAUUGCUAACAUUUUGCAAACGUGAUAACGAAUUUCGAACAUUUUGCAAAAUGUCAGACGGUGUUACCGAAAAUACAUAAUAUUUAAAGCGGAAAACAUAUUUCUAAUAUUUAGCAGAAUGAACCAUGUGAAAACAAAUUUCAUAUAUUUUGCAUUAUAUAAGGCGGUAUUACCAAAAAUAUAUAUUCAAAGAAACGGAAAACAUAUAUUGCUAACAUUUGGCGAAUGUAAUAACGAUUUUCUAACAUUUUGAAAAAUGUCUAGCGGUUUUACCGAAAAUACUUAU